rnacentral:rRNA from 1 species
AUUGAACGCUGGCGGAAUGCUUUACACAUGCAAGUCGAACGGCAGCACGGACUUCGGUCUGGUGGCGAGUGGCGAACGGGUGAGUAAUGUAUCGGAACGUGCCCAGUCGUGGGGGAUAACAUAGUGAAAAUUACGCUAAUACCGCAUACGAUCUAUGGAUGAAAGCGGGGGAUCGCAAGACCUCGCGCGAUUGGAGCGGCCGAUAUCAGAUUAGGUAGUUGGUGGGGUAAAGGCCCACCAAGCCAACGAUCUGUAGCCGGUCUGAGAGGACGACCAGCCACACUGGAACUGAGACACGGUCCAGACUCCUACGGGAGGCAGCAGUGGGGAAUUUUGGACAAUGGGCGAAAGCCUGAUCCAGCCAUUCCGCGUGCAGGAUGAAGGCCCUCGGGUUGUAAACUGCUUUUGUACAGAACGAAAAGGUUUCUACUAAUACUAGGAGCUCAUGACGGUACUGUAAGAAUAAGCACCGGCUAACUACGUGCCAGCCGCCGCGGUAA